rnacentral:lncRNA from 1 species
GAGAAGCUGGCUGCAAGGGCUGGGCUGGCCAAGGCUGGGGCAGUUGCAAAGGGUGGGAGCGCAGCAAGCGGAGAAAUACCCCUGAGUCAGCACUGGUGCAUUGGGAGGUGUCCCGGAGAGCCUGGCCCACGACAUGGACAGGGUGUCCGAAACGUACGCCCCUCUGUAUCACCCUCUAGUCAUGCACCCCCAUCUAAUUCUGAAACCAACUCUAGCCUCAUUUUUUCCCCUCCACGAUGAUGGGCUGUAAUGCACCCUGCUCUGAGGCCUGGGGGGAAUGGAAAGACAGAAUUCUCUUUCAAGCCCAACCCAGGCCCGGGGAACCCCCUAGAUGUUACUGUGGGGUCACAGACAAGGCCGUGGGGAUUUGACACGUGGGCAGGGACAAGGGCAACCCCAAAGCUAGUGGAUCUGACAUGGGGGUGACUGGGUGGUGUGGUGGGCAUCAUUUCAUUCACUGCAGUGGAUUUGCUGCCUGGGAAAUGCAACCCCCACCGUCCGAGGUCCGCUCCUGUCUUACUAGCUACUUAGCAGCCAGCUUCCCUGUUCUGCUCCCUGAGAGAUGAAGGUGUCCCAGGCUAAGAUCCCUCCAUCACCUGCCCAUCCCUGAGGGUCUCAUGUCACCUCAGCGGCUGGCACCUCCUCUUCCCAAACACCCCGUGGUGGCUUUGGCCCAGACAGUGCCUGCCUGAGGGAAGGAGGCCUCUGGCCAUAUGAAGACCGUAGAGGCCAGGGCGGCCAUCCCUUGUUCAUUUCAUCCUGUGUAGUUCCUUUCACAAGCCCCACUGGAGUCAUCUGCUCUUCCCCGGGACCCAUUUGUGAAGUUCCUGUCUCCCUUGACCUCCCCGUAGGGAACCAGAGACCAGUGGGCAGGGACAGAGUGCUGGGGGCCAACAGUGGCAUUUGCUCUGCAGCCCUCAACCAGCAGGCCUCUCCCUUGGCUAAUUCCAGGCAGGAAGGACACUCGUUUGUCAUCCAGGCUGGGAAGGGAGACACCAGAAGAGAAAAGUGUGUCUGGGCAGGCCAGGUCUGUUCUCUCCCUCUCCCGGGUGGAGAGGUCACAGAUACCUCCAUCCCAUGGAUGAGGGCAAACUAAAAAGUCCAGAGACAAACAGCUGGUCCUCGCAGCUUCCAGGGUUGGGAGUCAGAGGCUGGGAUGGGUUACGGUUCAGCCUGCUGCACAGGUGAGUCUCCAUCCUUAGCAUCCUGCCAUGCUGACUUCAAAAGACCCUAGUGCGUGGGACCCCAAUGACUCGUUUCGGUGUGCUGGGCUCAAAAUCGUUCGUGGCCAAGCACGUUAGUCUGGAAAAUUUAAGUUGCUGCAGAUUGAUGGACAGAAGGAGAGAUGGUUUUCAAUAUACAGGGAAUGUAUUUUAAAAUGGAGCAAGAGACAGGGCUGCAAGGAGGGAACGGGCACUUCGAAAGCAGCCAGUAGAAAGUCGCUCCUAAUUCUGGGGGAGGGAAUUGUGUUCAGCCUGCAGAGUGCUUUUCUAGUCCAGGCGAUGAUUUGGUCUAAGACUUCAUUAAACAUUUGUCUAUGAGCCCAAAUUUCCCCAAAUGACUGAGGUGUUUGGUAUGAGCACAUUGCAUGCCCCAGGGAGCUUCAACGCCAGCAGCUUCCUGCCACGGUACAGGCAGGUUCUCUAAGCACGAGCUUUCAAUUCAGGCUCCUGUCUAUAGCGAGAACCAGAACACAAUGCAGGGACCCACAGGGGUCAUGUGGCUCCACCAGCCUCAGCCGUUCCCAAAAGCCCAGCUGCUGUUUCAGGGGCUUGCCUGGAUAACUUAUAUCUGAGAGGUUUGCUGCACAUCCUUUGAGUGAUUUAUGGUGAGAUCUAAAAUUUCUUUGUAAAAAGAUACCCUUUUGCUUUGGGAGGGAUCACAAGGAGCUCAGCCCUCCAGUGCCCAGGACCACCUGGGCAGAUGCCACUGUUGGCACUGUAUAAUGUCGCCCCCCAUGCAGACCUGAUCUGAGCUCUGCGUGUCAGGGAAUGCCACUUCAGCAGUGCCAGCCUGGGAGCUCCUCCAGCCGGCACCUACUGAGGCAGCAAAUGACUUUGGGGAGGCCCUUUGGCUGGGUGCAUAGGAGUCUGGGUCCCAGAGACCAUAGCUCACAUGUCUCAGGCUGCUUAUGUACUUCCCCAGAAAGAGCCACUGUCCCAAGUGUGCUUCCUGCUGCUUUUGUGCAGUCCCAUCUAGACGAGCCCCUUAUGGAGACCCCUCCUCUUCUGCCUGGCACCCAAUGCUCCCAUCAUUCAACACCUGCUACCAACACAGAAGCAGUCCAUCCCCUUCUUAAAUGCUACAGCCUCUGCCCCGGCGGCCACUAAUCAUUCUAUUCGAGUUUCCCUCCAGAGCUCAUCUCAGUAAAUCCGGAAGAAGAAAACCUCCAUCCCCAGUGAACAAGACCAUGAAGGCUGCGUCAGUGUUCCCAGGUUUCAAGCCAAGCUGGAGAAAGAUCACAACAGAGACCAGACCCGCAUUCUCCGGCCCAAUUCCACAUGGCUGAGAGAGCCAGCUAACCAGACGCAAACACACGCGGCAGGAUGGCACGCGACUGAGGCAAGGAAUAAGCCUCAACUCAUCACUGACUCCUUCUGCUGCUGCCUCUGCCGCUGCUGCCUCUGCCGCUGCUGCGGUCUGCAGUCACUUGAAGGAGAAAGAUUUCGCAGUACGGCAUUCUUAAAGCUGCAGUGUCCAAAUUCUCCUUCAAACCCCACUGUCACCGACAUCAGCCAACUUACCGGGGUCCUUCGCAGAGGUGCUGUGCCGGUAAGCCAACGGGGAAGGACCUGGAUGGAGUUCUUAGCGCCCAGAGUUUCUGCAAAGUGCAGGCAGAGGACUCCGGCUUCUUAGGGGAGAAAGCUUUUUAAAACCCAAAGGAAAGGGGAUCUUUCUGCUGGCUAUCCAAGGAGCGUGUCAAUGAGCUGAUCUAGCAUCCAGAAACCAACACACCCCUCCCUGAAAGUUACCUCUCUCCUCUGCUCAGCUGCUGCCGUCCUGCCUGGAUGCUGGCAAGUUCAGACUGCUUCGGGAGAGGCAGGACCCGAAAUAAGAAGUGUCAGCUGGGUCCCUGCACCCAAAUGGUGCCGGGAGUCAAUGCUGCAGGAGGCAGGGAUGGUCUCCCCCACCAUGCACCCGCCCCCCGCCGGUUGAAUUUAAACCCCUGACACUGCAAGAUGCUCACUCCUAUAGAGACACCUCUCCGCGGAGCCUCCUCCCUCCCCCACGCUCUCACACAACUAGGUCCAAAGCUUUGCCCCACCUCCCAGAUUUGUUCACCUGAAGAUGCUUUUCUUGAAAAAACAAAACAAAACAAAAACAAAAACAGAAGAUUGAGACUCUGCAGAGUCUUUAAUCCUUAAUUCUGGAGAAGGCGGGACUUGUUCAAAAGUUUGAGAAUUGCAGCCUGAUGCCCAGGAAGGAGCAGAGGUGAUGAGCCGACAGUCUGCUUUGCACCAGACAAGUUGACACCGUUGCUUUAUCAAGAAGGGCAGAGGUAGACCCGGGGUGAAGAGAAGAGGAAAAUUCCUCUCCAUCCACUGGCAAAUUCUCAACCGUUUGGGAAAUCUCUAUUUUUGUUUUCCUUCAAGAAAACCCCAUUUAAAAAAUUGUCAGGCACAUGAAAUGUUCAAGAUUGCCACUAAGUGUCAAUUUUGUCCUGACACGUCUGUGAUUCUUAAAAUUCCCGUUCCUGCUUCUGUGAAAGUUAAUAGUCUUUAAGAUUGAGGUAGGGAUUUAAUUGAGAAAAUUCCAGGAGAGAGAAGCACUUUAAAUGCAGAUAUGGUUAAGAUAGCGCAUUCUAAUAUAACCCACAAGGGGUUAGGCAGAAUAGAUAUACUGAGAGGUAGAAGGUGGUCAGGAAUGUAGGUAUUUCCAGGUUUUGAGUUUAUCACAAACUCAGAGCCCAAGAAAGGAAAAUAAAGGAGGAAGUGUGUGUGUGUGUGUGUGUGUGUGUGUUUGAGCGGGGAGACUAAAACUCCCCUUCUAAAUAAACUGUUCAGAAAGACCAAUUGCAUCAAUUCCAUGUACAUUUCAUUACUGAAGUAAGACCAGGAGUGUGUGACUUGUUUCUAAACGGAGUGAGAGGGGAGGCUCUGCUGCCCGCAUCCUGCUUGGGACA